rnacentral:rRNA from 1 species
UACGGGGGGGGUAAGCGUUGUUCGGAAUUACUGGGCGUAAAGGGCUCGUAGGCGGCCAACUAAGUCAGACGUGAAAUCCCUCAGCUUAACUGGGGAACUGCGUCUGAUACUGGAUGGCUUGGAUUCGGGAGAGGAAUGCGGAAUUCCAGGUGUAGCGGUGAAAUGCGUAGAUAUCUGGAGGAAUACCGGUGGCGAAGGCGGCAUCCUGGACCGACAUUGACGCUGAAGCGCGAAAGCUAGGGGAGCAAACGGG